UCCACUAUGGGUCAGUGGUUAACGCGCCUGCUAAAGUUUAAUUAUCGAGGCAGGAGGUUGGGGUUCGAUUCCUCCAGGUGGCA